rnacentral:tRNA from 1 species
GGGGUUGUAGCUCAGUGGUUAAGCGCUUGCUUCACAUGCAUGAGGCUCUGGGUUGGAUCCUCAGCACCACA